rnacentral:tRNA from 1 species
AGCUUUAUAGUCAAAAAAAUGAUAUUAGAUUGCAAAUCUAGAGGUAUAAUUAUUAUUAAAGCUU